GUGCCAGCCGCCGCGGUAAUACAGAGACCUCAAGCGUUAUCCGGAAUCAUUGGGCGUAAAGCGUACCGAUAGGUGGCUAAGAAAGUCAGAAGUGAAAUCUUCAGGCUCAACCUGGAGAAUGUCUUUUGAAACUUCUUAGCUAGAGGGGCAAAGAGGAAGCUGGAACGAACGGUGUAGUAGUGAAAUGCGUUGAUAUCGUUCGGAACACCAAUAGCGUAGGCAGGCUUCUGGGUGCCACCUGACACUGCUAGGACGAAAGCGUGGGGAGCGAAUGGGAUUAGAUACCCGAGUAGUCC
rnacentral:rRNA from 1 species